GAGAGGAAGGUGGUAACCUAAUAACACGUCAGCGACUGGUAUGUUUGCUUGCCCUUUUUUAAUUUGCUUCUCAAUGUAUUUUUUCCAUUUGAGUUUUCUGUUGAUAAGCCUCAGAGUUUUGGUAGGCGCCUAGUGGUGGAACGGUUGAGCCGGAAUCGCGAUUGAGAUGUGAUGUUAGUGGGCCAUUGUGCAUCUUUUUUAUAUUUUGGGCAAUGCGAGCACGCUAGUGCCAGUAUGCGCGGUUUCUGUUCUUAACGUACUUAUAGAUCGCUACGUUAUUUCAUUUUUGAAAAUCUGAGCCCGGGGAGUGCGGAUCCAUACAUACAUGUAAUUUGUUGUUGCAGUAUUGCUAGAGUACAUUUUUCUCCGCGAUUGUCUGUCUUCUUUACACCAGUUCUGUUUUCCGUCUCAACCUCUUCAUUAUUAUGGAAAGCAUCUACCAUUACCACACCCACACACGAACGUUAAGGCUAAUCGUUAUUAGUUGAAUCUCCAUAGCCAAGCUCUUUUUUUUUUCAAUGUUUUCCGUCGCUUUCCAAGUGACAGAAAAAAAGGAGUUUGAAUUAGGCUUGCAAAAGGGGCAAUAUCAAUGAUACUGUCACCCUUAAUGUCUGAUUUAUCGUCAACUCUGUAAAGGAAACAAGAGAGAGAAAGGUUGGUGGAGAUUAAAUCUGUAGAAAGAGGAAGGUUUAUUCUAGUUAUUCCAUUUUUCAGUAGAUUUUUGCCUUUUACUAGAAUUAAUUUAACCAAUAUAAAAGGUUCAAGGAAAAAUCUAUUCACUGAACUUAUUAGAAAACCUCAAAUGUGUUGGAUGCAUUGAAAAGAUUAACCAAAAAAAAAAAGGCACGCAAGCAGGUCAAAAGACUAGGACUCCCUUCGUUUCCUUUCCCAUUUUGCCUCAAGCAUCGAAUAAGUUUGCGAGCAAAACAUAACCGGGCAAAUGUUACAAGAGAAAAUACAUGAUUUGGGAUCUUCUUGGAUGGAUUUGUUUACAUAUUUCUUUACUCAUUUUUUGAGGAUCAAUACAAUAUUCUUGUCCCAUCCUUGCUAAAGUAAAGAACGGGCAUUAAUUUCCGAACAGAAAGAAUUGUGUGUUCACUUUAUGGUUUUCGCAUUGUACUUUUCCUACUUGCAUUAGCAGUUGUUUGGCUCACUACUUUUUUCGAUGCUCACGAAUAAUUUUUGGAACCUCAUUU
rnacentral:telomerase_RNA from 1 species